rnacentral:rRNA from 1 species
GCUUGUCUCAAAGAUUAAGCCAUGCAUGUCUAAGUAUAAACAACUUUGUACUGUGAAACUGCGAAUGGCUCAUUAUAUCAGUUAUAGUCUACUCGAUAGUACCUUACUACUUGGAUAACCGUGGUAAUUCUAGAGCUAAUACAUGCUGUUUAGCCUGACUUCUAGGAAGGGCUGUAUUUAUUAGAUAACAAACCAAUAUUCCUCGUGUCUAUUGUGAUGACUCAUAAUAACUGAUCGAAUCGCAUGGGCUUUGCCCGCGAUACAUCAUUCAAGUUUCUGCCCCAUCAGCUUUCGAUGGUAGUGUAUUGGACUACCAUGGCUUUAACGGGUAACGGAGGAUUAGGGUUCGAUUCCGGAGAGGGAGCCUGAGAAACGGCUACCACAUCUAAGGAAGGCAGCAGG